rnacentral:rRNA from 1 species
UACGUAGGGUGCAAGCGUUGUCCGGAAUUAUUGGGCGUAAAGAGCUCGUAGGCGGUCAGUCGCGUCUGCUGUGAAAACUCGGGGCUUAACUCCGGGCCUGCAGUGGGUACGGGCUGACUAGAGUGCGGUAGGGGAGACUGGAAUUCCUGGUGUAGCGGUGAAAUGCGCAGAUAUCAGGAGGAACACCGGUGGCGAAGGCGGGUCUCGUGGGCCGUAACUGACGCUGAGGAGCGAAAGCGUGGGGAGCGAACAGGA